AACAUGACCAUGGCAACUCUUAUGAGAAUAACGUUUAACUGGGGCUUCAGUCCAUUAUCACCAAGGUUGAAGCAUGACAGAGUGCAAGCAAGCAUGGUGCAGGAGGAGUUGAGAGUUCUACAUCUUCAUCUAGAGGCUGCUAGGAAAGGACUGCCUCCCAGGCAGUUAGGAUGAGGGUAAUGAAGAUCAUGCCCACAGUGACACACUUAGUCCAAUAAGGCCACAACUCCAAAUAGUGCCACUCCCUGGGCCAAGCAUAUACAAACUAUCACAUACAUCAUUGGGAACCUGAUGACACCUGAAAUACUUGUAUAAGGCUUCUUAGUUGAAGCCUCAGCAAUCUGAAGGACUUAGACACCUUGAUUUUCAUAUCCAUUUCAAAAAUGCAGUACAAAUCUGUAGAAGGUACAUUGUUUUGUAUUUCACAAUAUAGUUAAUACAGCAGAAAACAUGGCCAGUAUAUAUUUGCCUUAAAUCAUACAAUAAAAUGGUUUGUCAGAGUAUAAAAUAAUAUUGAUAUCUUGAGACAAUUUUUGGUUAAUAAAAUAUCAUUAUUUCCUAAAAGAAUUUAUAUGAGAAUUGUCUAAGAAUCUUGUUUUGCAUUCAAUACUAAACAGACACUGAAUUUGAUAUAGUAAUUUUCUAUAAAAAAUACUCAAAUAGAAUUUCAAUGGCAUCCUCAAUUGUUUAAAAAAAAACAUACUGGAAACUUGAGAUGGGAAUUUUAGGCAGGGUAGCUCUAAAUCCUUACAUUCUGUUUUCAUACUUUCAUUGUGCAACCAUAUGUAUGCUAGUAACUGGGAGAUUUUAUUUAAGGUUUCUCUCCAAGGGCCAUGAGAUGGAGACUGGGGUACCUCCUUUUCUGUUGAUCUUUCCACACUGUUGCAACAUGUAGCAGUUUGAAUUCAGUACUUCUCUAGAGACAAAGCAAAAGGUCCAGGAGAAAGAACAUCUAUGAGCAUUAAAACAAAUAUGAGCACACUGACAUUUCCCCCAUAUACCAAAUCUGUGCUGUUUUUCUGACAUUAAACACGAUUGUAUUACAUACCAACCAAAAGUAACAGGGGUUCUCUAACUAGACCAAUUAUUAUACAAAAAUAAUAAAUUGUUUGGUUAUUAUAAGAGACUAAUGAAAAUGAUAAAUAACCUAGGCACAAGUACCUUACUGCCCAUUAUUUUGUUAAUAAAUCUGUCUUAUUCGCGUUCUCACGACCGGCCAGGAAAGACGCAACAAACCAGAAUCUUCUGCGGCAAAACUUUAUUGCUUACAUCUUCAGGAGCCAGGAGCGCAAACCCCCAGCCCCAAAAGCGAAAGCCACCCCAAUUACAUCUUUAGGAGCCAGAGCUCCGGCGCGCCAAAGCGCAGAGCGCGCUCUAUUGUUUACAUCUUUUGGAACAAGCGAGCAGGCGCCAGAGCCAGAGAGAGAAAUGGCGGAAACCCCGUCCCCUUUAAGGAGGAGUUAUCCUUCGCUUAGGACGCAUCACUCCCUGAUUGGCUGCAGCCCAUGGCCGAGCUGACGUUCACGGGAAAGGCAGAGUACAAGUAGUCGUAAAAUACCCUUGGCACAUGCGCAGAUUAUUUGUUUACCACUUAGAACACAGGAUGUCAGCGCCAUCUUGUGACGGCGAAUGUGGGGGCGGCUCCCAACAAAUCUGAAUUUAUUUUAAGUGAUGCAUAAAUAGAGUAAACAGAACCCACAUUUUCCAUUAAUCUGCUGUGACAUGUCUUCUAAACAAACACCUUGCUAUGUCAGCCUUCAUCCAUUUUAUAUGUUCUGAAAAGUAUUCUAAACUCUAGAGAAAGACAUUUAUUGUUCCCUUUUAACUCCUGAUGGAGGCUGACUUUGAAAAAUGAGAGAGAAAUCUUAUGCCCUACUAAUUCACAGUAGAAAAACCUAAGAGAUUUAGAACAUAGAACUUUUCAAGACACUGAUUACAAAGGGUAUUUUCCAAAUAUUUUUCUGAAAAAAAACAUAAAAUCUUUUGUUUUUAUUUAAUAUAUUUGUCACUAGGCUGGACAUCAAUUUUGGCCAACUUGUUUGCAUGCAUCUUGUUGCUAUGGCUUGAUAAUUUCCACAGAGGUAUCAAAGAGUAUAGCCUCCAGGUUGCCACAGUAUUGGGUUGACAACAUCAUAUUUUUUUUAUUUCACAUCCAUAGCUGUGUAUAUGUUAGGACAAUGUUCUGCUACUGUGUCCUAUCACAAAACCUAGAUUUUAAUUAUUUAUUUAUUUUAUUGAGGAACCACAAUGUUGUUAUUUCAUACAAAGUUACAACUCUAUACUCUCACCAGCAUGCACAAGGUUUCUCAUGUUUCAAUGUCCUUGUUAACAAUUUGUGGCUUGUAUCUACUAGACAUUGCCUUUGAUAAAUGUACUGAAGUAAAGAAAUAUCUAAUUUUGGUCACAUUCUUUAUUAUACUAAUAAUAUGUGUUGUGAAUAAUGAAUGUUUCAUAUGUGAUUAAUCACUUGUGUGUUUUACUUCAGAGAUAUCUUUAAAUCUAUUACUUAUUUUUAGGUUGGUUGUUUAUUCAUAAGUCAUGAUAUUUUAACUUCUUUCUGUAUGUUAAAAAUAAAUUUCUUACCAGAGAAAGAUUCAGACUAUAUUUGAAUAUACUUGGCAUUCUUUUUACUCUGUUAAUUCUUUAAUUUUCUUGGCUAUGUAAAAGAUUUUUGGCAAUUUUAUAAGGUGUCAUUUAUUUGAUUUCAGUUUUAUUUCUGGUGUUGGUAAACUUUUAUAGG
rnacentral:lncRNA from 1 species